GAGAGAUGGCUGAGUGGUCGAAAGCAACGGUUUGCUAAACCGUCGUACCCGUCAAAAGGUACCGCGGGUUCGAAUCCCGCUCUCUCC
rnacentral:tRNA from 1 species